CAGCCGCCGCGGUAAAACAGAGGGUGCAAGCGUUAAUCGGAAUUACUGGGCGUAAAGCGCGCGUAGGUGGUUUGUUAAGUUGGAUGUGAAAGCCCCGGGCUCAACCUGGGAACUGCAUCCAAAACUGGCAAGCUAGAGUACGGUAGAGGGUGGUGGAAUUUCCUGUGUAGCGGUGAAAUGCGUAGAUAUAGGAAGGAACACCAGUGGCGAAGGCGACCACCUGGACUGAUACUGACACUGAGGUGCGAAAGCGUGGGGAGCAAACAGGAUUAGAUACCCCCGUAGUCCCUGUCUCUUAUAC
rnacentral:rRNA from 1 species